GAGUUUGAUCGUGGCUCAGAUUGAACGCUGGCGGCAUGCCUUACACAUGCAAGUCGAACGGCAGCAUGAUCUAGCUUGCUAGAUUGAUGGCGAGUGGCGAACGGGUGAGUAAUACAUCGGAGCGUGCCCUGUAGUGGGGAUAACUAGUCGAAAGAUUAGCUAAUACCGCAUACGACCUGAGGGUGAAAGUGGGGGACCGCAAGGCCUCAUGCUAUAGGAGCGGCCGAUGUCUGAUUAGCUAGUUGGUGGGGUAAAGGCCCACCAAGGCGACGAUCAGUAGCUGGUCUGAGAGGACGAUCAGCCACACUGGGACUGAGACACGGCCCAGACUCCUACGGGAGGCAGCAGUGGGGAAUUUUGGACAAUGGGCGAAAGCCUGAUCCAGCAAUGCCGCGUGUGUGAAGAAGGCCU
rnacentral:rRNA from 1 species